rnacentral:lncRNA from 1 species
ACACUUGAGUUGGAAGGUCAUGAUAUAUGGCAAGCAGAUCUGGUACUUUCGGCCUACUAUUAGGCCUUCUACAGUAUAACUUCCUGGUUUUUCUUUUAUUGAGUUGUGCAAUUUAGGCAAUGUUGGUUUGUAAUAAUUAUUUGUAAAACACUUCAGUGCUGGUUAGUGAAAAGGGUGGGAAUAAUGCAUGCUUAGUAUAAUUUUGGGUAGAAA